UUACUACUCCCUUCGUCCGAAAAUACUUGUUCGAGGAAUGAAUGUAUUUAGAUGUAUUUUAAUUCUAGAUAAAUCCAUUUGUAUCCAUUUCUUUGAAAAGUAUUUCCGGAUGAAGGGAGUACGAC
rfam:Triticum aestivum genome assembly, contig: Triticum_aestivum_CS42_TGACv1_scaffold_161090_2DL